rnacentral:rRNA from 1 species
GCAGUCGAGCGCGCCCUUCGGGGUGAGCGGCGGACGGGUGAGUAACGUGGGCAAAUAUGCCCUUCUCUAAGGAAUAGCCUCUGGAAACGGAGAGUAAUACCUUAUACGCCCUUUGGGGGAAAGAUUUAUCGGAGAAGGAUUAGCCCGCGUUAGAUUAGGUAGUUGGUGGGGUAAUGGCCUACCAAGCCUACGAUCUAUAGCUGGUUUGAGAGGAUGAUCAGCCACACUGGGACUGAGACACGGCCCAGACUCCUACGGGAGGCAGCAGUAGGGAAUCUUAGACAAUGGGGGCAACCCUGAUCUAGCCAUGCCGCGUGUGUGAUGAAGGCCCUAGGGUCGUAAAGCACUUUCGCCAGAGAUGAUAAUGACAGUAUCUGGUAAAGAAACCCCGGCUAACUCCGUGCCAGCAGCCGCGGUAAUACGGAGGGGGUUAGCGUUGUUCGGAAUUACUGGGCGUAAAGCGCACGUAGGCGGAUUAGUAAGUUAGAGGUGAAAUCCCAGGGCUCAACCCUGGAACUGCCUUUAAUACUGCUAGUCUUGAGUUCGAGAGAGGUAAGUGGAAUUCCGAGUGUAGAGGUGAAAUUCGUAGAUAUUCGGAGGAACACCAGUGGCGAAGGCGGCUUACUGGCUCGAUACUGACGCUGAGGUGCGAAAGUGUG